ACACGAACCGUACAAACGUUAUUCGGAAUCACUGGGCUUAAAGGGUGCGUAGGCGGCUUGGAAAGUUGGGUGUGAAAUCCCUCGGCUCAACCGAGGAAUUGCGCUCAAUACUGCCAGGCUAGAGGGAGACAGAGGUGAGCGGAACUUAGGGUGGAGCGGUGAAAUGCGUUGAUAUCCUAAGGAACACCAGUGGCGAAGGCGGCUCACUGGGUCUCUUCUGACGCUGAGGCACGAAAGCUGGGGGAGCGAACGGGAUUAGAAACCCGAGUAGUCC
rnacentral:rRNA from 1 species